rnacentral:rRNA from 1 species
UACGAAGGGGGCUAGCGUUGCUCGGAAUGACUGGGCGUAAAGGGCGCGUAGGCGGAUGGGACAGUCAGAUGUGAAAUUCCUGGGCUCAACCUGGGGGCUGCGUUUGAUACGUGCGGACUUGAGUGCGGAAGAGGGUCGUGGAAUUCCCAGUGUAGAGGUGAAAUUCGUAGAUAUUGGGAAGAACACCGGUGGCGAAGGCGGCGACCUGGUCCGAUACUGACGCUGAGGCGCGAAAGCGUGGGGAGCAAACAGG